UACGGAGGGGACUAGCGUUGUUCGGAAUUACUGGGCGUAAAGCGCACGUAGGCGGAUUUGUAAGUCAGGGGUGAAAUCCCGGGGCUCAACCUCGGAACUGCCUUUGAUACUGCAAAUCUCGAGUCCGGAAGAGGUGAGUGGAAUUCCUAGUGUAGAGGUGAAAUUCGUAGAUAUUAGGAAGAACACCAGUGGCCGAAGGCGGCUCACUGGCCGGUACUGACGCUGAGGUGCGAAAGCG
rnacentral:rRNA from 1 species